rnacentral:rRNA from 1 species
GACGAACGCUGGCGGCGUGCCUAAUACAUGCAAGUCGAGCGAAUCUUUGGGAGCUUGCUCCCAAAGAUUAGCGGCGGACGGGUGAGUAACACGUGGGCAACCUGCCUAUAAGACUGGGAUAACUUCGGGAAACCGGAGCUAAUACCGGAUAAUCCUUUUCCUCUCAUGAGGGGAAGCUGAAAGACGGUUUCGGCUGUCACUUAUAGAUGGGCCCGCGGCGCAUUAGCUAGUUGGGAGGUAACGGCUCACCAAGGCGACGAUGCGUAGCCGACCUGAGAGGGUGAUCGGCCACACUGGGACUGAGACACGGCCCAGACUCCUACGGGAGGCAGCAGUAGGGAAUCUUCCGCAAUGGACGAAAGUCUGACGGAGCAACGCCGCGUGAACGAUGAAGGCUUUCGGGUCGUAAAGUUCUGUUGUUAGGGAAGAACAAGUAUCGGAGUAACUGCCGGUACCUUGACGGUACCUAACCAGAAAGCCAC